UGUCAGGUGGUUACCUGCAUCAGCAUUUUACAAACAAGCACCAGAGAAAGAGGAGUGUCUGGGAACAGUCUGCAGCUGCUGUCUGAAAUAUCUUCAUGGGCAUUAAUGCUUCUCUCAGCUCUUCUGCAACCAUCAUCAAAAUGACUCUUGGUAGUACACGUAUGUUUUAAAAUCAGAAAACAUCAAACAAUCAGUUAAAGAAGUUAAAUUUGAAAAAAAAAAGGAUAAUACUGCCUGGCUUCUGAUUUCCUGACCCCUCUUGAAAAACUAAUAAAAUUGUAAGAGAGGACUAUAAAUAAGAAUAAGCUUGUAAAAAUGAAGAGAGUGGAAGAGAAGACAAUAGCAGAGAAAAGACAUCAACAAAAUUUUAGGAGAUGAAAAGCAGAUGUCUCAGUGAUAUCUGACCAGGAGAGUGCUGAAAUCUAAAACUUGAGUGCCUGCAGCUGGGGAAGCCAGCAAGAAGGAAGCCAGUUCAUGUUGCAGAAUUCCCGAAAGACUCAGCAAUUACAGGUGAGUGCUGAUGACACUAAAAAUGGGAGGAUUGGUUGGAAGUGUUCCAGAUCUCCUUUUAACCCCAAACACAAGAAGUUGCCCUUGCCCAUCUGUGAGAAGACUGGGGAUGAAACAGAGACUCUGGACUUGGGACAUUGGAUGAAAACAAGGGAAUUAAGAGAAAGGUUGUGUUACGAAGAGUGAGAUCUCAGCUGUACCUUUUCACUUAGCUCCCAGAAUGUUAUCACCUCAGCUUAUACCUAAGCAAGAAAUUGGCAAGUUCCUCUCUAGGGAAACAGAAAAAGCUGGAUACUGACAUUUGGGGUUCCUCCCAUGAAGUGUCUAGGUCGCAGCCGGAUCACACUCUGAUGAGGCCUAGCAGUUGGUAAUCACUACCCAAGUAUAAAGAACUUUCAUUCAGUUGAAUAUACCUCAUUCUUAAAUGUAACCAGGCAGCUAUGGAUCUGUAUAUAUUUCUAGAAAGCCUCUAACAUGAAAGAGAGCAAAAUGAACCAAUAGAAAAAACAUACACCAAAAGAUGAUUGCAGGAAGCAAAUAACACAUAACAAAUGUUCUAGCUUUGACUCCCACAAAAAAAUACAUUGCAUUUACAAAGAUUAAAAAGCUAUGAAAUAAAACUUUUUGAAGACAAAAAAGAACUUUUUUAUA